rnacentral:rRNA from 1 species
CUACACGGGUAUCUAAUCCUGUUUGCUCCCCACGCUUUCGUGCAUGAGCGUCAGUACAGGCCCAGGGGAUUGCCUUCGCCAUCGGUGUUCCUCCGCAUAUCUACGCAUUUCACUGCUACACGCGGAAUUCCAUCCCCCUCUGCCGUACUCCAGCCUUGCAGUCACAAGUGCAGUUCCCAGGUUAAGCCCGGGGAUUUCACACCUGUCUUACAAGACCGCCUGCGCACGCUUUACGCCCAGUAAUUCCGAUUAACGCUUGCACCCUACGUAUUACCGCGGCUGCUGGCAC